GAUGAACGCUGGCGGCGUGCCUAAUACAUGCAAGUCGAGCGAACGGACGAGAAGCUUGCUUCUCUGAUGUUAGCGGCGGACGGGUGAGUAACACGUGGAUAACCUACCUAUAAGACUGGGAUAACUUCGGGAAACCGGAGCUAAUACCGGAUAAUAUUUUGAACCGCAUGGUUCAAAAGUGAAAGACGGUCUUGCUGUCACUUAUAGAUGGAUCCGCGCUGCAUUAGCUAGUUGGUAAGGUAACGGCUUACCAAGGCAACGAUGCAUAGCCGACCUGAGAGGGUGAUCGGCCGCACUGGAACUGAGACACGGUCCAGACUCCUACGGUAGGCAGCAGUAGGGAAUCUUCCGCAAUGGGCGAAAGCCUGACGGAGCAACGCCGCGUGAGUGAUGAAGGUCUUCGGAUCGUAAAACUCUGUUAUUAGGGAAGAACAUAUGUGUAAGUAACUGUGCACAUCUUGACGGUACCUAAUCAGAAAGCCACGGCUAACUACGUG
rnacentral:rRNA from 1 species